AUCAAUGCCUUUUACAUUGGUCUUCACAGACAAGGUCAGCUCCCAGACUACUGCACCAGGCAGCACAAUUUAGGGAGAAGGUGAGCAUCCCUCAGUGCUGAAAGUACAGGUUAGAUGUCUGCUGAAUAUGAAAA